AUGCUGACGAAGGCGAUUUGCAUUCAUUUCUACAGCAACUCUAUGAACUGGUCCUGUGAUUCCCAUUUCACCAAAAGGGAAAAGUGGUACUCACCUUUGUGCAGCAGAGCCACUCAAGAUCAUCACCUUAAGAGAGUGGGUGCGAGCCUGAAAAUCUAUGCAAUGGGAUGCUCCCAUGACCCUGGCCUCCUCAUUCUUGUUCUGGAUCCUUGCCUUCAGCUACUCCUCUCUCUCCUGCUCUUGCCUCUGAAAUGCACCACCACACCACCCUCAAGCCCGGCUCAAGUCUGGCCUUCCUUGACCAUGCUAAUACCCCACACUGCCUUCCUGCCUCCUUACCACCACCACAAUACUCUGCCUCCCAUUCCCCACUUCGCCCUUUGUUCAUCCCAAAGCAUUUAUCAUUGUUUAGCCUAAUUUACUUAAAUAUGUUAUUUUUAAAGCAUUUUUAAUAUAAAACCGUACGGAUAAUAGAGUUCCCAUAUAGCUUUUUUCCCUGCCUCACUUUCCCUAAUAGUAACAUCUUGCAUUAGUGUGGUAUAUUUGUUAUGAUUGAUGAGUCGAUAUUGAUACAUUAUUAUUAACUAAUGCCCAUAGUUUACAUUAGGAUUAACUCUAUGUCCUACAGUUCUAUGGGUUUUGAGAAAUGUAUCACGACACACACACAUAUAUAUAUAUAUAUAUCACUGCAGUAUCAUCCAGAAUGGUCUCAGUGCCCUAAAAAUUCCCUUUGCUCUACCUUUUCGUCCAUCCCUCCCUUAUGUCAAACUCCAGGCGACCACUGAUCUUACUACUACUGUCUUUUCCCAGAAUGCCAUAUAGCUGGAAUUCAGACGGUAGGUAGCCUUUGCUGAUUGGAUUCUUUCACUACGCAUUUAAGGUUCUUCCAUGUCUUUUAGUGACUUGAUAGCUCAUUUCUUUUUAUUACUGAAUAAUAUUUUGUUGUCGGGAUGUACCACUGUUUAACCAUUCACUGAAGGGUAACUUGGUUGCUUUCAAGUUUUG
rnacentral:lncRNA from 12 species